AUCCAGUUGACGUGCCCCAAAUAGAACGAUAUGCACAUCCUGGAU
rnacentral:hammerhead_ribozyme from 1 species